rnacentral:ribozyme from 1 species
CACACACCUGCAUGUCGUCUCGGCAAAUGCCAUUUUUUUGUUUUUUUACUUUUUGUUUUUCUAUCUUCUCUAGUGUGGAAGUAC